UGGCGGCAGGCCUAAACAACAUGCAAGUCGAAACGCCGUAGCAAUACGGAGUGGCAGACGGGUGAGUAACGCGUGGAAACCUUCCCUAUGGUUCGGAAUAGCUCAGGGAAACCUGGGGUAAUACCGGAUAAGCCCUUCGGGGGAAAGAUUUAUCGCCAUUGGAUGGGCCCGCGUAGGAUUAGCUAGUUGGUGAGGUAACGGCUCACCAAGGCGACGAUCCUUAGCUGGUCUGAGAGGAUGAUCAGCCACACUGGGACUGAGACACGGCCCAGACUCCUACGGGAGGCAGCAGUGGGGAAUAUUGGACAAUGGGCGAAAGCCUGAUCCAGCCAUGCCGCGUGAGUGACGAAGGCCUUAGGGUUGUAAAGCUCUUUUGGCGGGGAAGAUAAUGACGGUACCCGCAGAAUAAGCUCC
rnacentral:rRNA from 1 species